GUUUCUCCUGGAAACGGGUGGUAAUGCCGGAUGCUCCGACAUGACGCAUGUCGUGUCGGGAAAGAUUCUAUCGGUAUGGGAUGGGGUCGCGUCCUAUCAGCUUGAUGGCGGGGUAACGGCCCACCAUGGCUUCGACGGGUAGCCGGCCUGAGAGGGCGACCGGCCACAUUGGGACUGAGAUACGGCCCAGACUCCUACGGGAGGCAGCAGUGGGGAAUAUUGCACAAUGGGCGCAAGCCUGAUGCAGCGACGCCGCGUGCGGGAUGACGGCCUUCGGGUUGUAAACCGCUUUUGACUGGGAGCAAGCCCUUCGGGGUGAGUGUACCUUUCGAAUAAGCACCGGCUAACUACGUGCCAGCAGCCGCGGUAAUACGUAGGGUGCAAGCGUUAUCCGGAAUUAUUGGGCGUAAAGGGCUCGUAGGCGGUUCGUCGCGUCCGGUGUGAAAGUCCAUCGCUUAACGGUGGAUCCGCGCCGGGUACGGGCGGGCUUGAGUGCGGUAGGGGAGACUGGAAUUCCCGGUGUAACGGUGGAAUGUGUAGAUAUCGGGAAGAACACCA
rnacentral:rRNA from 1 species